UACGGGGGGAGCAAGCGUUGUUCGGAUUUACUGGGCGUAAAGCGCACGUAGGCGGACUCUUAAGUCGGUGGUGAAAUCCUGGAGCUCAACUCCAGAACUGCCUUCGAUACUGGGAGUCUCGAGUCCGGGAGAGGUGAGUGGAACUGCGAGUGUAGAGGUGAAAUUCGUAGAUAUUCGCAAGAACACCAGUGGCGAAGGCGGCUCACUGGCCCGAUACUGACGCUGAUGUGCGAAAGCGUGGGGAGCAAACAGG
rnacentral:rRNA from 1 species